UUUUCUUUCUAUUUUGUUAAAAAAUGAGUGAGGAGAGAGGUUACAGUGCGACUCCCCAGUCGUUGGUGGUUGUUUACAGUGAAGAUUCAAGUACUCAACAACUUUUCUCAUAUUCCAGCCAUCGGGGCUAGAAUGUGGGAGGCGAUCCUGAGGUCAGUGGACCGUCUCGCUCAUUACCUACUGGUCUUGCUGGGCCUGAAAUCGUCUCCGGAGCUGCUUUUGCUCAAAAUGUGGGGGUGAGUACAUCUGGGUUGAUUGUUCCUUCGGGAGUGAGUGAAAUCGUUUCCAUCCUAAACGGGUGGGAUCUACUAGAUCCCCUCAAGUCACUUAGAAUAGAUAAGGACAGGUUUCGCGUAUCACUCGCCGGACAAAGGGGACAAGCUGACAGUAUUUUUCUUCUCUCAGUCAGGGUGGCCGUUUAUGA
rnacentral:misc_RNA from 1 species